rnacentral:rRNA from 1 species
GAUGAACGCUGGCGGCGUGCCUAAUACAUGCAAGUCGAACGAGUUCUCGUUGAUGAUCGGUGCUUGCACCGAGAUUCAACAUGGAACGAGUGGCGGACGGGUGAGUAACACGUGGGUAACCUGCCCUUAAGUGGGGGAUAACAUUUGGAAACAGAUGCUAAUACCGCAUAGAUCCAAGAACCGCAUGGUUCUUGGCUGAAAGAUGGCGUAAGCUAUCGCUUUUGGAUGGACCCGCGGCGUAUUAGCUAGUUGGUGAGGUAAUGGCUCACCAAGGCGAUGAUACGUAGCCGAACUGAGAGGUUGAUCGGCCACAUUGGGACUGAGACACGGCCCAAACUCCUACGGGAGGCAGCAGUAGGGAAUCUUCCACAAUGGACGCAAGUCUGAUGGAGCAACGCCGCGUGAGUGAAGAAGGCUUUCGGGUCGCAAAACUCUGUUGUUGGAGAAGAAUGGUCGGCAGAGUAACUGUUGUCGGCGUGACGGUAUCCAACCAGAAAGCCACGGCUAACUACGUGCCAGCAGCCGCGGUAAUACGUAGGUGGCAAGCGUUAUCCGGAUUUAUUGGGCGUAAAGCGAGCGCAGGCGGUUUUUUAAGUCUGAUGUGAAAGCCCUCGGCUUAACCCGAGGAAGCGCAUCGGAAACUGGGAAACUUGAGUGCAGAAGAGGACAGUGGAACUCCAUGUGUAGCGGUGAAAUGCGUAGAUAUAUGGAAGAACACCAGUGGCGAAGGCGGCUGUCUGGUCUGUAACUGACGCUGAGGCUCGAAAGCAUGGGUAGCGAACAGGAUUAGAUACCCUGGUAGUCCAUGCCGUAAACGAUGAAUGCUAGGUGUUGGAGGGUUUCCGCCCUUCAGUGCCGCAGCUAACGCAUUAAGCAUUCCGCCUGGGGAGUACGACCGCAAGGUUGAAACUCAAAGGAAUUGACGGGGGCCCGCACAAGCGGUGGAGCAUGUGGUUUAAUUCGAAGCAACGCGAAGAACCUUACCAGGUCUUGACAUCUUUUGAUCACCUGAGAGAUCAGGUUUCCCCUUCGGGGGCAAAAUGACAGGUGGUGCAUGGUUGUCGUCAGCUCGUGUCGUGAGAUGUUGGGUUAAGUCCCGCAACGAGCGCAACCCUUAUGACUAGUUGCCAGCAUUUAGUUGGGCACUCUAGUAAGACUGCCGGUGACAAACCGGAGGAAGGUGGGGAUGACGUCAAAUCAUCAUGCCCCUUAUGACCUGGGCUACACACGUGCUACAAUGGAUGGUACAACGAGUUGCGAGACCGCGAGGUCAAGCUAAUCUCUUAAAGCCAUUCUCAGUUCGGACUGUAGGCUGCAACUCGCCUACACGAAGUCGGAAUCGCUAGUAAUCGCGGAUCAGCACGCCGCGGUGAAUACGUUCCCGGGCCUUGUACACACCGCCCGUCACACCAUGAGAGUUUGUAACACCCGAAGCCGGUGGCGUAACCCUUUUAGGGAGCGAGCCGUCUAAGGUGGGACAAAUGAUUAGGGUG